UGGCACUGAAAACAUCACUAGAAGAACCAAGAGCAUAUGAAAAGAAGCCAGCACCUUGGGAGAAAAACUUGAAGAAAAUGCCGCUGAGAGCAGAGCAUUCAACUGCGGCUUUGUGGCAGGAGGCAGCAAGGGAGUGGCUCUGGCGGAAGGCCUCCACUCCUCAGCAGCCCCGGGUGUGACUGCGGGCAGCGGGGAAGCACGUGCCCAGGACAUGGAGCUGAGCCCGAGUUGUGCACAGCAAAGCAGAACCCAGCAGAGUCAGCUUGUGGCGGGUUUUUUGAGCUAGUGUCUCUCCUGCAGCCCCAGCUAGCCUCCCACCUUGUGCAGCUGUGAUCUUAACUUUCAGUUCUCACGCCUCCUCCCGAGUGCUGGGAUUACAGCCUGGGCUGCCCAAGCCAUUUUCCUGCAUACCUGUAGCUGCUCUAACAGACAGACCGUGAUCCGGAGCCCAGGAAAAC